rnacentral:rRNA from 1 species
CCUACGGGAGGCUGCAGUGGGGAAUAUUGGACAAUGGGGGUAACCCUGAUCCAGCCAUGCCGCGUGUGUGAAGAAGGCCCUCGGGUUGUAAAGCACUUUCAGUGAGGAAGAACGCCUGGUGGUUAAUACCCAUCAGGAAAGACAUCACUCACAGAAGAAGCACCGGCUAACUCCGUGCCAGCAGCCGCGGUAAUACGGAGGGUGCGAGCGUUAAUCGGAAUUACUGGGCGUAAAGCGCGCGUAGGUGGCUUGAUAAGCCGGUUGUGAAAGCCCCGGGCUCAACCUGGGAACGGCAUCCGGAACUGUCAAGCUAGAGUGCAGGAGAGGAAGGUAGAAUUCCCGGUGUAGCGGUGAAAUGCGUAGAGAUCGGGAGGAAUACCAGUGGCGAAGGCGGCCUUCUGGACUGACACUGACACUGAGGUGCGAAAGCGUGGGUAGCAAACAGGAUUAGAUACCCUGGUAGUC